UUGGGAGCCGGGAAUGAGAAAACCGGUGCAAGCACAAUAGAUGUGUGGGAGGAAAAUCCCCCGCAUAAGUCGAAGGUGUGACGCGGACCGAAAAAGAGUAGGGAAGCUGUUAAGCAAGCCGUCAAGAAAAGCUGCUAUUGUUUCAUUAUGGCCCGUACCGUAAACCGACACAGGUGGAUGGGGAGAGAAUCCUAAGGCCGGCGGAAGAAGUAUUGUUAAGGAACUCGGCAAAAUGACCCCGUAACUUCGGGAGAAGGGGUGCCUGCGAGAGCAGGCCGCAGAGAAGAGGCCCAAGCAACUGUUUAGCAAAAACACAGGUCUAUGCAAAACCGAAAGGUGAGGUAUAUGGGCUGACGCCUGCCCGGUGCUGGAAGGUUAAGGGGAGUGGUCAGGAAACGAAGCCACGAACUUAAGCCCCAGUAAACGGCGGCCGUAACAAUAACGGUCCUAAGGUAGCGAAAUUCCUUGUCGGGUAAGUUCCGACCCGCACGAAAGGCGUAAUGAUUUGGGCGCUGUCUCGACAAUACAUCCGGUGAAAUUGAAGUGCCAGUUAAGAUGCUGGCUACCUGCGCCAGGACGGAAAGACCCCAUGGAGCUUUACUCCAGCUUGAUACUGGGACCCGGUAUUGCAUGUACAGGAUAGGUGGGAGGCUAGGAAAUGUGGACGCCAGUCUGCAUGGAGCCGCUGUUGGGAUACCACCCUUGUGGUGCUGGGUUUCUAACCAGAGGCCGUGAACCGGUCUGGGGACAAUGUCAGGUGGGGAGUUUGACUGGGGCGGUCGCCUCCGAAAGGGUAUCGGAGGCGCCCAAAGGUUCCCUCAGAAUGGUUGGAAACCAUUCGAAGAGUGCAAAGGCAGAAGGGAGCUUGACUGCGACACCGACGGGUGGAGCAGGUACGAAAGUAGGGCUUAGUGAUCCGGUGGAAUUUAAGUGGGAAUGCCAUCGCUCAACGGAUAAAAGCUACCCUGGGAUAACAGGCUGAUCACUCCCAAGAGUUCACAUCGACGGAGUGGUUUGGCACCUCGAUGUCGGCUCAUCGCAUCCUGGGGCUGAAGUCGGUCCCAAGGGUUGGGCUGUUCGCCCAUUAAAGCGGUACGCGAGCUGGGUUCAGAACGUCGUGAGACAGUUCGGUCCCUAUCCGGCGUGGGCGUAGGAUAUCUGAGAGGAGCUGUCCUUAGUACGAGAGGACCGGGAUGGACUGACCUCUGGUGUACCGGUUGGCGAUCAACGCCACGGCCGGGUAGCCAUGUCGGGACGGGAUAAACGCUGAAGGCAUCUAAGCGUGAAGCCCCCCUCAAGAUGAGAUAUCCCAUCGUAAGAGUAAGACCCCUUGAAGACGACGAGGUUGAUAGGGCAGGGGUGGAAGUGCUGUAAGGCAUGGAGCUGACUGCUACUAAUCGGUCGAGGGCUUGAUCAA
rnacentral:rRNA from 1 species